UACGUAGGGUGCGAGCGUUGUUCGGAUUCAUUGGGCGUAAAGAGCUCGUAGGCGGUGUGUCGCGUCGGCCGUGAAAACCUGUGGCUUAACUAUGGGCUUGCGGUCGAUACGGGCAUCACUGGAGUUCGGCAGGGGAGACUGGAAUUCCUGGUGUAGCGGUGAAAUGCGCAGAUAUCAGGAGGAACACCGGUGGCGAAGGCGGGUCUCUGGGCCGAUACUGACGCUGAGGAGCGAAAGCGUGGGGAGCGAACAGG
rnacentral:rRNA from 1 species